UCAACGACUUUCAGAAAAAAGUUUGAUGCUGCUUAUUAGAGUUGGACUGUUGUGCCUCAGGACAAACAAGAGACAAUAUUUAUAGAAUUUGCAAAAACUCACACUUGGAGUCAAAUAUACACUGGUCUUGUCCAGGAAAAAUUUGAGAGCAUAUGUCAGCUACGUAUGAAAGACAUGGUUAGCAUUUGUAGGAGGAAACGAAAGCAACCAAUCUGGAUCCAUGAUACUCUGUGGGAAGAAAUGACAGCGUAUUGGGACACUCCUGCAGCGAAAAAAAAAAGUGACACUGCAUCAGUGGCUCGUUUGUCUGAACGGAACGGACUUGGUCCACACAAGCACAACACUGGCCAGAAGUCUUUCCAACAAAUCGAAUAUGAAAUGGUUGAGGAAUUGGGCAGACCAGUUUCUCUUGGUGAAGUUUACAUCAAGACACAUACAAAAAAGGAUGGGACCUAUGUUGAUUUGAAAGCUGAGCAGGUUGCAGAGAUAUAUAAGAAGAACAAAGAAGCCAAGUUGACUGC